rnacentral:tRNA from 1 species
GGAGUUGUAGCUCAGUGGUAGAGCACUUGCCUAGCAUGCAUGAGGCACUGGGUUCGAUCCCUGGCACCA